rnacentral:rRNA from 1 species
GACGAACGCUGGCGGCGUGCCUAAUACAUGCGAGUUGAGCGCUGAAGGUUGGUACUUGUACCAACUGGAUGAGCAGCGAACGGGUGAGUAACGCGUGGGGAAUCUGCCUUUGAGCGGGGGACAACAUUUGGAAACGAAUGCUAAUACCGCAUAAAAACUUUAAACACAAGUUUUAAGUUUGAAAGAUGCAAUUGCAUCACUCAAAGAUGAUCCCGCGUUGUAUUAGCUAGUUGGUGAGGUAAAGGCUCACCAAGGCGAUGAUACAUAGCCGACCUGAGAGGGUGAUCGGCCACAUUGGGACUGAGACGCGGUCCAAACUCCUACGGGAGGCAGCAGUAGGGAAUCUUCGGCAAUGGACGAAAGUCUGACCGAGCAACGCCGCGUGAGUGAAGAAGGGUUUCGGAUCGUAAAACUCUGUUGGUAGAGAAGAACGUUGGUGAGAGUGGAAAGCUCAUCAAGUGACGGUAACUACCCAGAAAGGGACGGCUAACUACGUG